rnacentral:rRNA from 1 species
CUACUCUUGACAUCCAGAGAACUUAGCAGAGAUGCUUUGGUGCCUUCGGGAACUCUGAGACAGGUGCUGCAUGGCUGUCGUCAGCUCGUGUUGUGAAAUGUUGGGUUAAGUCCCGCAACGAGCGCAACCCUUAUCCUUUGUUGCCAGCGGUUCGGCCGGGAACUCAAAGGAGACUGCCAGUGAUAAACUGGAGGAAGGUGGGGAUGACGUCAAGUCAUCAUGGCCCUUACGAGUAGGGCUACACACGUGCUACAAUGGCAUAUACAAAGAGAAGCGACCUCGCGAGAGCAAGCGGACCUCACAAAGUAUGUCGUAGUCCGGAUCGGAGUCUGCAACUCGACUCCGUGAAGUCGGAAUCGCUAGUAAUCGUAGAUCAGAAUGCUACGGUGAAUA